GCCCCCUACCUGGUAUGGGCGGCCCUUGCCCAAUACCAGAAUAUAAUAAUAAUUUCUCCAAAAAAAAUAAAUAGAAAUGAAAUAAGGGUAGGGUAAAAAAAGAGGAGAGAGAAAUUUCCUCCUUGUUUUAUCAAUUACGCGCGAAAUGUUUCCCGGCGUCGUAGAGAGAAAUUUCCUAAAAGAUCUACAAGAAUUUCCUACAAGAUCUACAGAAAUUUCCGGUAAAAUUCCCGCUAGAGAAGGCCGUUUAUUGAAAUGGAGGAUCUAGUAAAGUAAUCGAACUAGUGAAAUUGUUGUUGGAAAAUUAGGGUUUAAUAAAAUAAUGAAUCUGUUGUUUUGGUGUGUGCUGUCGGAAGAAUUGCCAAUGGAAGUCGGUGUAAACUGUGAAGUAGAGCCCUUGGACCAUGAUGUUGAAGUAUGCGAGUGGGAUCUAGAACAAGUUGAGGAUGCUAUCAUAAUGAACACUCCAGUGAAGGAUGUAUUAGGGUGUUCAGUAGAUGCAGCAACCCCGGUACGGUGUGUUGUUGAGAGUGAAGAAGGCAGUAUGAAGAUUUACUGAACCACCCUAAAGUGGGUAUGGUGUUUAGGAGUUGGGAGUGUGCUGAUCAAUUUUUCAUAAAAUAUGGGAAGCAGAGAGGAUUUGGAGUUUUCUGUGCGGCUAGUAAUUUCAAGAUAGAGCACGGUAAAACUGACAAGAGUUAGAGGAGGAGCUACAUUUGGCGGUGUGAAUGUGUUGGUAAGCCAUACUUAAGGAGAAGAGUAAAUGGGAAAAGGGUGUAUGGUGGUGGUUUGGCUUUGGACUUAAAUCAGAGGAAGACUAAGAAGUGUGGGUGUCCAGUGGAAAUGAGGGCAUUUUGUAAACCUGAUGAUUCGUGGGAAGUGCAAAAGGCAAUCAUAGAACAUGAAUUUCACAAUCCAACUCCCCGAAAGUCACGACAUAUUUCCAUGUAUCGGCAGGAUGAAAUCACUACUGCGGUUAGGAGGAAGUUAUUCAAUGACUGCAGUGCUGGUAGUCAGGUGACACAAGUGCAUCGUAGUUUAGCCAAAGAGCGCGGUAGGGUAGAGAAUACGACUAAAAUUACAUAGAGGGAUUUGAGGAAUGUAUUGGCUAGGCAAAAGAAGUUCAAUAUGAGCGGGGGUGAUGCUAAUGCAAUGCUUGCGUAUUUUGAUAAGAUGAGUUCAGACAACCAGAAUUUUUUUCACAAGUAUAGGUUAGAUGAUGAGGGUAGGCUAACUAAUGUCAUGUGGGUUGAUGCACGUUGCCUAUCAGGAGUUCGGGGAUGUAGUAUGUUUUGACUCUACCUAUGUUACUAAUGAGUAUGAGCUCCCGUUUGCCAACAUCGUCAGUGUGAAUCACCAUGGCCAGACUAUACUUUUGGGCUGUGCUUUAGUGUCCCAUGAAAACACUCAAACUUUUGUGUGGCUGUUUUCGAACUGGCUAGACUGUAUAGGAGGUAAAGUCCCAAGGGGGAUUUUGACAGACCAGUGUGUUGCAAUGAGGAAAGCUUUGAGUAUUGUGAUGCCCACUGCCAAGCAUAGGUGGUGCUUAUGGCAUAUUGUGAAUAAGUUUGGUACCAAGCUGGGAAUGUAUGCGAACUACCAGGAAUUUCACGACGUGCUACUUAAUGUUAUAUAUGACAGCUUAAGUGAAGAUGAGUUCGAGGUAAACUGGAGUGUUGCAAUGGAGUCAUAUGCACUUGGAUCAGAUGAAUGGCUUUCAGGAUUGUUCGAGGAGAGACAUAUGUGGAUCCCGGCCUAUAUGAAACACCUUUUUGGGCGGGCAUGAAAACUACAUAGCGUUCAGAGAGCAUUAACAGCUUCUUUGACAAGUAUGUCUAGCGGGACACUCGCCUGUACUAGUUUGCAGAGAGGUAUUGUGAUGCCAUGGAGAAUAGGGCAAAUGUAGAGAAAUAAGCUGAUGCCAACAGUGCAAUGAGAAUGAGGCAUCUGAUAACCGGGUUUUCUUUACGAGAAAAACUUCCAGAAAGUUUACACCGAUGCUAAGUUUGUAGAGGUGCAGGACCAAUGCACCAGGCUUAUGUACUUGAGUGUCGUUGGGAAACAAGAGAUAUCCAACAAUGUUGUGGAACAUUUGGUUCAAGAUGUAUGGUUGUAUGAUAAACAACUAACGAAGGAGAUUCCUCUUGAAAGGAAGAGAAUUUACACUGUAAUGAUAAACUCUGAAACAAAUGAUAUGUCAUGUGAAUGCAAGCUUUUUGAUUGUCAUGGAAUAAUGUGUUGCCAUCAGUUAAAGGUGUAUGAUUUAAAUGGCAUUACUGCAGUCCCUUCUAAGUAUAUAUUGAGGUGUUGGCAUAAAGAUAUCCAUAGGCGUCACACACGGGUUAAGGUCACAUAUAUACCAUGAUCCUAUCAAAACUGCAGAAGUGAAGAGGUAUAAUAGGAUAAUGGUCCGAUUUGAGAGCGUGUGUCUGAAGGCAGCCACCCGUCCAGAGUAUGUGAAAAUGGUGUUUGAUGCCAUAUGCCAGUUGGAAUACUUAUGUACUGGAGGUCUGCAAUCAUCUCCUUCAGUGAAUGAUAAUGUGAAUGAUGUGGAUGAUAAUUUUGGUAGCUCCAGCGUGCCUUCUCAUGUUAAUGAGUCUCUUGGGAACACAUCUGCUUUGGGGCUUGAAGAUAUAUCCCUUGAUCCAGUCAACACUCCAACUCUUAACACACGUGUUUCAAAUGAAGAAGUUUGUCCUCAGGGGGUGAGUUUAGGGAAUGAGAAGCAGCCUUCUGAUGUGUUGGCACCCAAAGCAUUGUCUGUCGGGGAUCUAAUUUCGAGGAAAAAACCAUAUAGACCAAGGGCAAAGCGAUUCCUAUCAUUUGUGGAGAAGUGUGCUAAGAAAGCAGCAUCGGAACUAAAGUAAAAGCAAAGCACGGACCAGAGUGGGUUGAAUGAUGCUGUAAUGGAACCUAACAAGCCCCCCAAGCCAAACAGAAAAAGAGGAAGGAAAUCAAUAAAAUAGCAACAAGCGGCUAAUGUUAUUCCUAUAAGUGAAUAUGAUGGAUUGAAAUGUAAUGCAUGAAUGGUUUGUUGUUGGUAUAAAAAAUAAUCUUGUUUCAAAUAACAAGGACCAACUCAGGUGGUGGAUCAAGGACCAAUAUCUGCGAUUUGGCUUGGCGGAAUAGGGUGUGGACCUGUAUAUGGUGAAGUAGGCUACUUUACUAGGUCCAUUCAAUCCUGUCCUCUGUGGGUUGCCCGCGAUGUGCUCCCAUUUAUUUCUACUACCAUUAUGAGUGCACCAUCCUACAAUAAUAUAUCGGGUUAUUAACAUCUUAGUAGUGAUAUAUCUCUUUUGUAUUAUCAGCGCAUGAACAAUCAGUGCAGUCAUUGGGAUAUUGCGUUUUGUA